GAGAAACAGAGAGAAAGGAAAGAAAUGCUGUGGAUGGCACUAUUCUUUAAUAAUGUCCAAAGUCCUUGCUGACAUAGCUUGUCUCAUGUUGUGUGUGGAGUGACAGCUUUGCAAGAUUUUUUGAGUGUCAUUGCUCCAUCGGAAUGCCCAUUUUUACUUGUCCACACCUGGCACACUGCUCCUCAUCCUAAACAAACUUGUCCUGGUGAAGACAUAGGAUUGAGUCUAUCCUCAAGAGCCAAGCCUAAUUUUACAAAUAAUCUUGGAAUUGUUUUAGAAACGGAUUUUCUGGUGGACAUUACAUAAGGGAGAACAGGCAAAGGCAAUAAAAGAAAUGGAGUAUGAUUUUGGCUGAAAUAAUCCAUUCUGGCUUUCAAGGAGAAGUGUGGUUGCUAUUGCAGAAGGAAGAAAAAAAAUGUAUGAAAGGACUUCAAGAGAUUGCCUCUGUAUAUCUUAGUACAGCCUGUCUAGUAGUAAAAGUUUAAAAAAAAAAUCUCUAAAGGAAGAGAAAUAGAAGGUUUACAAUCCUCCAAAUAUAAGUUUUAAUCAUAUUAUUUGAUAAAGAAGGACGACUGUCUAAUGAACAAACUAGAAUUAAAGGAAAUAUGGAAUAAAUAGUGGAGAAAGACAAUUAUAAAAUAUAGAUUCAUUACCAGUAGAUAAUAGUAGAAUUCAUGAAGUGUUUGUGUGU